CUCUCCUAUCACCUCCAUUACAGCGGCCACACCCUGUCUACCAGUCCCCGGCAACCUCCAAUGAUGAAUUGAAUUCUACGGUCAACACUGGAGCCAGCCUUGAAAGAAUGAGGAAAGAAAGGAUGCCGUGCAGGGUCAUUUCAGCCCAUGUGGAUGUACCUGGCGGAUUCUGCACAGAGCCAGAAGACCAGCAAGACGGGAGGAAAUGAAUACAGAGUCAGGGUAAAAUGGAUCACAUAGCUUGAAAAGGCCAGAUGGUCUAGCAUCUUGUGGGUCAUGAUGCUUUUAUUCCCAGCAAAAUGGGAAGGCAUCUCUGGGUUUUGAGGGAAGAAUUACACGAUCUGACCUAUGU